rnacentral:rRNA from 1 species
ACGAGAAUAUUCCGCAAUGGGCGAAAGCCUGACGGAGCGACGUCGCGUGGUUGAUGAAGUCCUUAGGGAUGUAAAAACCUUUUGUGAGGGAGAAAGUAAUUGAUAGUACCUCAAGAAUAAGGGGUUGCUAAACUCGUGCCAGCAGCAGCGGUAAUACGAGUGCCCCAAGCGUUAUCCGGAAUCAUUGGGCGUAAAGGGUGUGUAGGCGGCAUGGUUAGUCUCUUGUCAAAGCUCCUGGCUUAACCGGGAAAAUGCAAGGGAAACGGCCAUUGCUAGAGGAUGUGAGAGGUGAAUGGAACUCAUGGUGUAGGGGUGAAAUCCGUUGAUAUCAUGGGGAACACCAAAAGCGAAGGCAAUUCACUGGCGCAUUCCUGACGCUGAAACACGAAAGCGUGGGUAGCGAAUGGGAUUAGAUACCCCCGUAGUCC